rnacentral:SRP_RNA from 1 species
CGUCGGUCCCCUCGCGGUGAUCGCUUGUAAACUCCGCCAGGCCCGGAAGGGAGCAACGGUAGCAAGUUGAUUGUGCGCCGGGGUGUGGCUGACGGGG